rnacentral:rRNA from 1 species
GACGUACCGUCCAAACGUUAUUCGGAAUUACUGGGCUUAAAGGGUGCGUAGGCGGUCCGAUAAGUUGGGUGUGAAAGACCUCGGCUCAACCGAGGAAUGGCGCCCAAAACUGUCGAACUUGAGCAAGGCAGAGGUGAACGGAACUUAGGGUGGAGCGGUGAAAUGCGUUGAUAUCCUAAGGAACACCAGUAGCGAAAGCGGUUCACUGGGCCUUUUCUGACGCUGAUGCACGAAAGCCAGGGGAGCGAACGGG